rnacentral:lncRNA from 1 species
AAGACGCGAUUGGUCCGCGGAAUCGGAGAGGCGGAAAACCCGGGCUGGAUUUCUGGUUGCUUUUGUUCCCGCAAAUUUGCGUGGAGCAUUGUUUUUCGGCGAAAACGGGGCGUUCGGCCUUCCUGCUUUAUUUUUGAGCGGUGUAAGAGGGAGGUAGUGGGUAUCUUCGAGAAACGGCCGCCGCGGGGUCCGGAGCCCCGGGUUCCAAUCCCGGGUCGGCCACUGCAAAGCUGUGUGACCUUGGGCGAGUCACUUGGCCUCUCUGAGCCCCAGGCGCCUCCCCGGGAAAAAGAGGGUAAUAAUAACCGCCCCCGAGGUUUGUGCGAAGGUGUUGAGCUCACAGAGGGCCGGCACCGGCACUUUUGAGGCGGCUGACUUGCCCUGGGGGUGUGAUGGGAGGUGCAAGCUUUCUCCAAAAGCCUCGUCCAAAUGGAGCCUUUAAAUCCGCCUUCUUUCCGCGGCUACUUCACCAGCUCGCCAAACGCAGAAAAUGCAAACACAGGGGAGGGGGCAAGGGAGCUGACCUGGCUGGAAGUAAACAGAAACGCCACCCUCCCCUGGCACUUGCAUUGGCACCGGAUUGCAGGUGGGGGAAGGGCCGGUGCACCCAACCACCUUUAAAUCCCACCACUUACACACAGGCAUAGAAGUAGAGCCGCGGGGGCUGGACGCUCAUUCCUCCCCUGCCCUUCCCCUAGAGCGCUGCUUUGAAUGUCUGUUGAUCUAGAACGGGGUCUGUUCAUUCAUGGGUUCCAGGUCCCAAGCGCCCGGGGGCAGCUGAGAGCAAAGCUGGCGCCCUCCCUACCCUGUGGAGCUUACACUCUGGUUCUGGGCAGUGCACACUAGAGAUUGGUUAAAUCAAUGAAUGAACUUUUUCAGGAUAUGGUCCAAGGUGCUGAAAACUUCCUAACAAAACUCUUCAGCCGAAUCUGGCACGCCUGUGGUUCCAGCUACUGGGUAGACCGAGGCAGGAGGAUCGCUUGAGGCCAAGAGUUUAAGACCAACCUGGGCAACAUGGUGAGACCCCCCCUCCCCGCCCCAGUCGCUCCAAAACAAACAAACCCCACAUUCUCCAGUCUUAGGUCUUCGAGGAUGAACAGAGAUUGCAGAAAGGCAUGGUUGGGAACAAAAAAAAUUGCUCUCCACUCCCCCAGCCCCCUCCACACCUUGGGCACAUUUCCCUGGAGCUGCCCCAGUGUUCUUUGUCAGUGUAGGAAGAAGCAAAAAUCUAAAUGGAGUCAGGAUGGCCUCCCACAUGGGCACAAGGGCAAGGCUGGGGACAGUUGGGUCUCCUCAUCUUAUUUCCCAGGUCUAGGCUGAUUUCUAUUAAUAAUUAAAUUAAUCGUCGUUGUCCUGGACCUCACUUCUUAAUGUGAUUCCAGGGAACUGGCCACAUUCCAAAAUUCAUAAUCUAAGGUAGUGAAAGAACGUGAACAUCAAGACAGUUUGGCUGGGCUCAGAGGCUCACAUCUGUAAUCCCAGUACUUUGGGAGGCCGAGGGUAGAUCCCUUGAGCCCAGGAGUUCGAGACCAGCCUGGGCAACAUGGCGAAAUCCCAUCUCUACAAAAACUACAAAAAUUAGCCAGAUGUGGUGGCAUGUGCCUGUAGUCCCAGGUACUUGGGAGACUGCAGUGGAAGGAUUGCCCGAGCCCGGGAAAGGGAGGUUGCGGUGAAUGGGGAUCCCGCCACUGCACUCCAGCCUGGGUGACAGCGUAAGACUCUGUCUCAAAAACAAAACAAAACAAAAGAUUCAUUUCUUAUUGAUAAAGCAAGCUCCUUGGAGAAAGAUCUUGGAACCUCAUUAGUGCUGGGGGUGGGGGUGGGGCUUCUUCAAUCCAGCCGAGCUGGCUGUGAAACCCCCAGGCUUUGGUACCAAGUGAGCUCCAGUCCCAGCUGUGGCUGACUGUGUGAACUUGGCUAUGCAUUCAGAGGCCUCUGAGCCUCAGUUUCCUCAUCUGUAGAAGACAGCCAGGAACCCGUCAUCCUGGCUAGCAGUGGAAGUCAAAGGUGCUCAUGGAAAGCCCUUGCUGGCUGGAACAAGGGAGGCCUGAGCUGUGGAAGUCCUUGGAUCAAGGUCCUCCCCACUUCCCGCUGCCUUUUUGGUCCUUCUUGCGUGCUCUUUGUGAUUUAAUGGCUUAGUAGGUUGAAUCAUGUCCCCCCAAAGUUUAUCUCUACCCCAAAUCUCAGAAUGUGACCUUAUUUGGGAAAAGAGUCUUUGCAGAUAUAAUUAAGGUAAGAGUCAAGAUAAAAUCACACUGAAUUAAGGUGAGCCCUACAUGCAAUGAGACUGUCCUUACAAGAUACAGAAAAGAACACAUAGAGACUUCGGGGGAAAGGAGACUAUGUGCAAGAAUGGCAGAGAUUGGAGCCAAGGAGUGCCUGGGCCUACCAGAGGCUGCAAGAGACAGGGAGGACCCUCCCCUAGAGCCUCCAGAGGGAAC